rnacentral:rRNA from 1 species
AUUGAACGUUGGCGGCAGGCCUAACACAUGCAAGUCGAGCGGAUGAAGAGAGCUUGCUCUCUGAUUCAGCGGCGGACGGGUGAGUAAUGCCUAGGAAUCUGCCUGGUAGUGGGGGACAACGUUUCGAAAGGAACGCUAAUACCGCAUACGUCCUACGGGAGAAAGCAGGGGACCUUCGGGCCUUGCGCUAUCAGAUGAGCCGAAGUCGGAUUAGCUAGUUGGUGAGGUAAUGGCUCACCAAGGCGACGAUCCGUAACUGGUCUGAGAGGAUGAUCAGUCACGCUGGAACUGAGACACGGUCCAGACUCCUACGGGAGGCAGCAGUGGGGAAUAUUGGACAAUGGGCGAAAGCCUGAUCCAGCCAUGCCGCGUGUGUGAAGAAGGUCUUCGGAUUGUAAAGCACUUUAAGUUGGGAGGAAGGGCAGUAAGCGAAUACCUUGCUGUUUUGACGUUACCGACAGAAUAAGCACCGGCUAACUCUGUGCCAGCCGCCGCAGUAA